rnacentral:rRNA from 1 species
UACGUAGGGUGCGAGCGUUGUCCGGAAUUACUGGGCGUAAAGAGUUCGUAGGCGGUUUGUCGCGUCGUUCGUGAAAACUUGGGGCUUAACUCCAAGCGUGCGGGCGAUACGGGCAGACUUGAGUACUACAGGGGAGACUGGAAUUCCUGGUGUAGCGGUGAAAUGCGCAGAUAUCGGAAGGAACACCAGUGGCGAAAGCGGCUUCCUGGUCCGACACCGACGUUCAGGCACGAAAGCGUGGGGAGCAAACAGG